AAUAUAUUGUUAACUCGCUUCAAUAUUCUAUUUUUAUCUUUAAUGUUAAAGAACGAUGUUAGUCUGGUUAAUAAGGAUAUGCUUUUUAUCCGUGUAACCACUGUUAGAAAAUAAAUUAGACAAGAGCGCAAGAAGUGCAAAACUACAUAAAACAUAGAAUUAAUGGAAGACUUUUAGACAAAACUAAUGGAAUAAAGCAACGCAAUUAAAACAGAUGUAAACAGUGAAAGAGGCAAUAUAUUAAACACACAUGAAAAAGAAAAGGGUAUAUUCAUCACGAGUUUCAGUUUCGGUUUAUGACCAAUAGAGGAUUAUAUCACUGAACGUAAAUAAAAAUUAUAAAUUAUCGUGACUAGUAGAGUACUGUAGCUGUUUCUUUUAUUCACAUAGUAAACAUAAUUUGACAGAAAGAGCAUAUGGAGUACUUUAGCUAAAUGGGUACAACUAACUUGAUGUAUUUCUAUAAAUAUCGAAUAUAAUAUAAUAUUGAACGUA